GAAUAAUACUUGUGACACGUGAAAAUUAUGUAAAACUCAAAUUUCAGUAGCCGUUAAUGCAGUUUCACUGUAACACAGCCCUGCUCAUUUGCUCGCGUGUCAUCUGUGGCUGCUUUCACGCUGUGACAACAGAGCUGGACACCGUGACCGAGACUGGACGGCCUGAAAAGCCUAGAAUACUGACUCUCUGGCCUAACUUUACAAAAAAAAAAUUUUGCAGGGAAGUCCAAGGAAAGCUGUAGGUCUGGAAACGGGGAAAGCAGCUCUCUUCCUCUGUCUUGCCUUUGAGUCAGCAGAGGUCUAGUGACACGGAAGAAAAGUGAAUGUCUGCACCCUGUGUGGUGCCUCAUUGGACGUGGAGGGACUGGAGCCUUUGCCACACUGCCCUGUGCAGGCACCAGGGGUCCACGUCCCUCUCUGCUGACCCCGGCCCGCUCCCCCGUUUCCUGUACCCAAGGAGCCACGACUUUGAAUGUACCUCUUAACAUUAUGAUUCAGGAUUUGGUGGGUUAAUUUGGGAACUUACGAAAAUGCUCUCCAAAUUGCAGAUACUGAGAUGAAAACAGACUUGUUGGUUAUGGAUUAUUUUCAUCGACAUUUCUUGGCGUAGUUGAGGCAGGAUUUCAGAGAAACCCGAGGAGACCACCUGGAAUCUACACUGAACCGGCAUUCGGUCCCAAUAGGGGCCCAUUGAGCCCCUCGGAUCACUGCACUCUUCAGGUGACCCUGGGGAAAUAAUACAGGCUUGCAGAGAGUAGGCUCCCAGGCUCCUUCUUAAGGCUUUACCAAGCAACCUGAAGCCAUGUUCCGAGCAGCCAUCUUGCUCCAAGUGCCGUUCUGGUCUCUGAGGACACAGUAGGAUAUAUCCGCCUCUAUCCAGUUGUAUGGGGUUUCCAGUGAAGACGCAGAUCCAGGUAGCAGUAUUGCCUAC
rnacentral:lncRNA from 1 species